GAUCAUUAUACCCACGGAUUAUGCAGAUGCGGGUAAACUUUACCUAUAAAUUUUUGAGUAUUCAUCAUUCUUAUCCAUACCUGUUAGCGGUUGGGUGGACAGGUACACGGGUUACUCACAAGGUAAUCUUUUUUAUUUAUCCUUAUAUUUGUAUAUUUUCCUAACACAAAUAAUAUAUAUAAAUAUAUAGAAUUGGGCUGGAAUAUUAUUGAUAGCAAAAACUCUUUUUAUUAUCAAUGUUUUUAACCCUUUGAUGAGAAAUUCUUGAGUUAGGAUGAUAUUAGCCUCUUAGGGUUGAGUGGUCUCCACUGGGUUAUAAUAUUUAAUCAAAUGAUUAGAAAUGAUGAAAUGAGUUGAUUCAAAGGAUAAAAAAACUUGAGAGCAAAAAUGACCAUUUGCUAUCAAUAGUAUUCUAGCUCAACUCUCUCUCUCUCUCUCUCUCUCUAUGUAUAUACAGUCAGGCUAUGGUGGUUGUAAAAGCACCAAGCACUUGGUGCAUUUAACUUUUCCACCGUUAGAUUACCCUUUUGAUUAUUUUCACUCGUUAGAUUAUACUAUUCAACCAACCACUCACUUAACCCGAGGGGACCACUAUUAUCCUAACCGCACAUCUCUUAAUCCAAGGGCUACAAACCUACAAGUACCAAUGACUUUAUAGUUUUAAAAGCAUAGGAGCUCAAUGAUAUAU
rnacentral:lncRNA from 1 species